rnacentral:misc_RNA from 1 species
UAAAUUAAAGAAGAAUGAAAAAAUGGAGAAAAUAGAAAAAGAAAAGAAAAAGUGAAUUAUUACAUCAUCCAAGUGACCCCACCAUGACAUCAUUAAAUGAUUUUAAUUUAUUUAAAAUUUUGACUAAAUAAAAAUCAAGAUAAAAGAGCAUAAAACAAAAAUAAAGAAAAAAGAAAAUUCAUUGUCUUCUUCCAUCAAAAGGAGCCGGCCACCCUCACUCUCUCUCUCUCCAUGGUUUUCACCAUUAAAGCUUGAUCUCAAGCUUUUGAUCCCUUCAAUUAACCCUAAAUUCCCCAAAAUUUUCCAUCAAAUCUUAUUAUCCCAACUAGAAAAGAAGAUUGAAGGAGAAAGAAAAGGAAGAAAUUGAAGAUUUGGAGAAAUUGAAAAUCAAAGUUUGAGGUUAGUAAUCUAAACUUGGAAAUUGUAGUUAAAUGUUUAUGUUCUAGUUUACUUAACUCAGAAAUUAACUCAAAAUCAAAACAAAACAAUUGUUGGGGAAGUAAUAUGAAAUUCGGCCAGCAGUAGGUGGGGUUGGGAUUGAAUGAAUUUAGUGGAUUUGAAUGGUUAUUUGAGGUGAAUUAGGUGUAUAGAUUAUGAAUGUGCGCUUUGAAUGCAUUAGAUUUGAACUCUAUGUAAUUAGGGUUUUGAGCAUUUUGAAAAAUUAGAGAAAAAGUUGAGAAUUGGUUAAUUGGUGUAGUUGACGUUAUUUGAGUUGAGAUAUGGUCAAUUGUGACCAUUUUUGGUGUGUGUGAAUUGUUAGAAAUAAAUUUCAAUUCGGAUUGGUUAGGGUCAUUAUGCAGACAGCUUGACCUAGGUCCCUUUCAAGGACCAAAACUGAAAAUUUACCAACCCAAUCGGUGUGAGGUCAAUUGGGAAUGAAACUAGACACAAAAUGGACCAUUUUUCAUUUAGGAAUCAUGCCCAGAAAGUGACAAUAACUUAGUGAACAAUUAGGCCAAAUCCGGAAUUGGACACACUGCCCAGUACAAAAAUGAUCAAAUGAAUAGUAGUUAUGUAAAUGACUAUAACUUGGUCUAGAAAGGUCCAAAUGACCUGAAUUUUAUACCGAUAGAAAGCUGAGACAUAGCCCUAC